AAAGUCGUAACAAGGUUUCCGUAGGUGAACCUGCGGAAGGAUCAUUACAAAAACAAAAUCCAAACCACACCACUGUGCUCUUUAUUGUGAGAAAAAUGUCUUUGUGUGUUGCUGUGUUGUUGGGGGAGAGGAGAAGAAUUUAUUUUUCCCCUUUCUUUCCUUCACACACACACAAGCUUUUCCUCACAUGUCUUUGUUUUCAAUUUUUCAUUACUCCUUGUUUAACCAACAACGGAUUACAAUGUUAAAACUUGAAACAAACAAACAAAACAAAAUGACAACUUUUAACGGUGGAUCUCUUGGCUCGU
rnacentral:misc_RNA from 1 species